AGUGAACGCUGGCGGUAGGCCUAACACAUGCAAGUCGAACGGCAGCACAGUAAGAGCUUGCUCUUACGGGUGGCGAGUGGCGGACGGGUGAGGAAUACAUCGGAAUCUACUUUUUCGUGGGGGAUAACGUAGGGAAACUUACGCUAAUACCGCAUACGACCUACGGGUGAAAGCAGGGGAUCUUCGGACCUUGCGCGAUUCAAUGAGCCGAUGUCGGAUUAGCUAGUUGGCGGGGUAAAGGCCCACCAAGGCGACGCUCCGUAGCUGGUCUGAGAGGAUGAUCAGCCACACUGGAACUGAGACACGGUCCAGACUCCUACGGGAGGCAGCGGUGGGGAAUAUUGGACAAUGGGCGCAAGCCUGAGCCAGCCAUACCGCGUGGGUGAAGAAGGCCUUCGGGUUGUAAAGCCCUUUUGUUGGGAAAGAAAAGCGGCAGGUUAAUACCCCGCUGUUCGGACGGUACCCAAAGAAUAAGCACCGGCUAACUUCGU
rnacentral:rRNA from 1 species